GCCGGGUGUGGUGGCGGGCACCUGUAAUCCCAGCUACUCGGGAGGCUGAGACAGGAGAAUUGCUUGAACCCAGGAGGCAGAGGUUGCAGUGAACCAAGAUCACGUCACUGCACUCCAGCCUGGGCGACAGAGCAAGACUUCGUCUCAA
ensembl:misc_RNA Metazoa_SRP Metazoan signal recognition particle RNA